rnacentral:rRNA from 1 species
UAGGGAAUCUUCCGCAAUGGGCGAAAGCCUGACGGAGCAACGCCGCGUGAGUGAUGAAGGUCUUCGGAUCGUAAAACUCUGUUAUUAGGGAAGAACAAAUGUGUAAGUAACUAUGCACGUCUUGACGGUACCUAAUCAGAAAGCCACGGCUAACUACGUGCCAGCAGCCGCGGUAAUACGUAGGUGGCAAGCGUUAUCCGGAAUUAUUGGGCGUAAAGCGCGCGUAGGCGGUUUUUUAAGUCUGAUGUGAAAGCCCACGGCUCAACCGUGGAGGAUCAUUGGAAACUGGAAAACUUGAGUGCAGAAGAGGAAAGUGGAAUUCCAUGUGUAGCGGUGAAAUGCGCAGAGAUAUGGAGAAACACCAGUGGCGAAGGCGACUUUCUGGUAUGUAACUGACGCUGAUGAGCGAAAGCAUGGUGAUCAAACAGG